AGAGUUUGAUCCUGGCUCAGGACGAACGCUGGCGGCGCGCCUAACACAUGCAAGUCGAACGAGAGAUGAGGAGCUUGCUCUUCAAAUCGAGUGGCGAACGGGUGAGUAACGCGUGAGGAACCUGCCUCAAAGAGGGGGACAACAGUUGGAAACGACUGCUAAUACCGCAUAAGCCCACGGCUCGGCAUCGAGCAGAGGGAAAAGGAGCAAUCCGCUUUGAGAUGGCCUCGCGUCCGAUUAGCUAGUUGGUGAGGUAACGGCCCACCAAGGCGACGAUCGGUAGCCGGACUGAGAGGUUGAACGGCCACAUUGGGACUGAGACACGGCCCAGACUCCUACGGGAGGCAGCAGUGGGGAAUAUUGCACAAUGGGGGAAACCCUGAUGCAGCGACGCCGCGUGGAGGAAGAAGGUCUUCGGAUUGUAAACUCCUGUUGUUGAGGAAGAUAAUGACGGUACUCAACAAGGAAGUGACGGCUAACUACGUGCCAGCAGCCGCGGUAAAACGUAGGUCACAAGCGUUGUCCGGAAUUACUGGGUGUAAAGGGAGCGCAGGCGGGAAGACAAGUUGGAAGUGAAAUCUAUGGGCUCAACCCAUAAACUGCUUUCAAAACUGUUUUUCUUGAGUAGUGCAGAGGUAGGCGGAAUUCCCGGUGUAGCGGUGGAAUGCGUAGAUAUCGGGAGGAACACCAGUGGCGAAGGCGGCCUACUGGGCACCAACUGACGCUGAGGCUCGAAAGUGUGGGGAGCAAACAGGAUUAGAUACCCUGGUAGUCCACACCGUAAACGAUGAUUACUAGGUGUUGGAGGAUUGACCCCUUCAGUGCCGCAGUUAACACAAUAAGUAAUCCACCUGGGGAGUACGACCGCAAGGUUGAAACUCAAAGGAAUUGACGGGGGCCCGCACAAGCAGUGGAGUAUGUGGUUUAAUUCGACGCAACGCGAAGAACCUUACCAAGUCUUGACAUCCCUUGACGAUGCUGGAAACAGUAUUUCUCUUCGGAGCAAGGAGACAGGUGGUGCAUGGUUGUCGUCAGCUCGUGUCGUGAGAUGUUGGGUUAAGU
rnacentral:rRNA from 1 species